GACAGAAAAGUACAAUUUAUGGAAAUGAAUCGAAUCUUAAAGAACUGUUUUUUUAUAAAAACAAGUCCUACUCCUAAAUAAUAGCAGCACCUCUAAUAGAUGCCUCAGUGUUUUCUACAGUCCGCUACAUGAGGAAGUAAGGCACGCAUGCCAGUCUGCAUCAACACUAUACCACAGUGCAUGUGCAACUGUGCCACGUGCCUCAUCCGGAGCAGAUAAGAAUUUUUCUAUCAACAUUAAAAAAAAAAAAAAAA